rnacentral:rRNA from 1 species
GUCCAGACUCCUACGGGAGGCAGCAGUGGGGAAUAUUGCACAAUGGGGGAAACCCUGAUGCAGCGACGCCGCGUGAGUGAAGAAGUAAUUCGUUACGUAAAGCUCUAUCAGCAGGGAAGAAAUACUGACCUUACGGUCAGCAGACGGUACCUGAGUAAGAAGCCCCGGCUAACUACGUGCCAGCAGCCGCGGUAAUACGUAGGGGGCAAGCGUUAUCCGGAUUUACUGGGUGUAAAGGGAGCGUAGGUGGCAGGGCAAGUCAGAUGUGAAAACCCGGGGCUCAACCCCGGGAGUGCAUUUGAAACUGUCCAGCUGGAGUGCAGGAGAGGUAAGCGGAAUUCCUAGUGUAGCGGUGAAAUGCAUAGAUAUUAGGAGGAACACCAGUGGCGAAGGCGGCUUACUGGACUGUAACUGACACUGAGGAACGAAAGCCGGGGUAGCAAAUGGGAUUAGAUACCCGUGUAUA